CACCGAUUUUGUCUACGGAAUGAUCACCUGGCAACUACAUAUUAUACAGUAGUAAUCGAAACUGGGUUGAUGACGUAUUGAAGUCAGAUCAAAUCAUUAUCAAAUUCAUUUUUAUUCACAUCCUCACAUAAAUAUUUUACAUUGUUGAGCCCGACUAUGGCCCGAAUAUGUCAAUAGACAAUACAAAUAUCAACACAUAAUCUCCAUACAAAUAUAUCAAAGUAAUCAGUGCAGAAAAAAACUGACCGCUUUCCUGUAAAAGCGUGGAGCAAUGGAGAUUGUAAGGCAUGUUUUCCCACACGGACCACUCUGAUAUAAAUAUAGGCCUUAGUCAGCCUCCCUGUGCAACAACCAUAGGCCAGGGUUCGAGAAUGGAAUUUUUUACUGGUAUCCAUUAUGGAUACCAGCAUUUCAAACUUGGUAUCCAAAUUCAAAACUCGGUAUCCAAAUAUAAGAAUAUGGUAAAAUCAUGACAUCGAAUGUUGAGAACUUCGAAACACAUACACACACACAAGCCAUAUUUGAUUAGGUAUUCUUUACUUUUAGUUCACUGCAG